GAUUUUUGUUCAUUGUCAUCGUCUGUAGUUGCUUCCGAAAUCCAAAACCAAGUGUUUUAGGCAACUCAAGAACCCUAGUCUCUAUCUGAUCAGUGAUCACACAAAACCGCGGUCACUCUCUUCCCCUGAAGCUGCUCGAAGGAUCGAGCAGUUUCUAUUCUGAUGGAUGAUGAAUUCAAUUAAGCCCAGUUUCGAGGUCUGAUUCUUCAAUCAUGUGGUAUUCGUUCUGGAGACCCAGAGAUCGUUUCUCCUUGGAUCAACUCAGUUACUUAACUGAUCAAUUGACAAAAGUUCAAAUUAUUAACGAGGUUAAUAAGGAUUUUGUUGUUGAGGCACUGAGAUCAAUUGCGGAGUUGAUAACAUAUGGUGAUCAACAUGACCCAAGCUUCUUUGAAUUCUUCAUGGAAAAGCAAGUCAUGGGUGAGUUUGUACGUGUUCUAAAACUUAGCAGGACUCUAAGCGUCCCACUUCAGUUGCUGCAAACAGUGAGCAUAAUGGUCCAGAACCUGAAAAGUGAACACGCUAUAUACUAUAUGUUUAGUAAUGAACAUCUAAACUAUCUGAUAACUUAUUCGUUUGACUUUCAAAAUGAAGAGCUAUUAUCUUACUACAUAUCCUUUUUAAGAGCAAUAAGUGGAAAAUUGAACAAGAAUACAGUUUCACUGCUUGUGAAGACUCAUGGUGAUGAAGUAGUUUCUUUUCCACUGUAUGUUGAGGCCAUACGCUUUGCCUUUCAUGAGGAGAACAUGAUUCGCACUGCAGUACGAGCUGUGACCCUUAAUGUAUAUCAUGUUGGAGAUGACUCUGUUAAUAGAUACAUAACCAGCACACCUCACAAAGAUUACUUUUCAAACCUGGUUUCAUUUUUUAGGAAGCAGAGCCUGGAUUUAAAUAAACUGCUUUCUGAUAUGCUAAUAAAGCCGGUCCCAGAUUCAAUCUCUACAAUUAUUGCUGCUGUAGAUGAAAUUGAGGAUAAUCUGUACUACUUUAAUGAUGUUGUCUCUGCUGGAAUUCCUGACGUUGGGAGGCUAAUUACAGACAGUAUUCUGGUGAUUUUGAUAUUUCCAUUACUUCUUCCUUCCCUGAGGAUUGUGGCUGAUAAUGUAUGAAACUUCACUUUAUGGCCUUGUCAGUUCACUUUUGUCUUUGUUCAAUGAUCUUUGAAAAAAAGGUUUCUUGGACAGAUUUUGAUUCUUAUUAUGCAACUUGUCCUUAUUAAUGUUUGUUAGUACAUUAAUCCAGGACAUGCAAAGUGGCGUUGUUACUUCACUGUACUUACUUUGUUGCAUCCUGAGGAUAGUCAAAAUCAAAGAUUUGGCAAAUACCAUAGCUGCUGCACUUUUUUAUCCCUUAGAGGCCUUUACAAAUAGUUCUGGGGGUAAAGUCAAUGGCUAUACAUUUGAUGAUGGUUUUGCAUCUGAAUACCAAGUGUCAGAUAAUGAUAAUCUUACCAAUUGUGAUACAAGACACUCAAUGGUUAAUGUUCCUUAUUCAUUUAGUUCUUCAGGUUUCCAUUCAGAUGGUGUUCUUCUGCAAAAUGAUUGUAGCAGUUCAAAUUUAUCUUUAAGGGAGGUUUUGCUUGCAUAUGUAACAAAAGGAAAUGAUACCCAAGUGUUGGGUUCUUUGAGUGUGCUUUCAACUCUGUUGCAAACUAAAGAACUUGAUGAAUCAAUGCUAGAUGGGCUUGGAAUUCUUCCACAACGCAAACAACACAAGAAACUAUUAUUGCAAGCUUUAGUUGGAGAGGGUUCAGGUGAAGAGCAGCUUUUUUCUUCCAAAAGUAGCUUCAGUAGGGAUGGCAUUGGUAGUGAUAUUGAUAUCUAUCAUAAAAAGAUAAAGUUUUCCAGGACCAGUAUGAAGUAUCUUUUCAGCCUUCUGAUGUGGGAAUAAACUCUCAUGAACAUAGAUUUCAGGUGAUUGAUGCUUUAGUGAGUCUCUGUUGCCGCUCUAAUUUAUCUGCAGAGGCACUAUGGGAUGGUGGUUGGCUUUUGCGCCAGUUACUCCCUUACAGUUUCAUACAAGAAUUAUGCUUCUGCUCUUGCUGAGGAGGUUAGAGGCUUCUGGCCUGACUUCCUUAUUUCUGUUCUCUGUGAUGAGUGGAGAAAGUGCAAAAGAGCAAUGGAAUCGUCAUCUCCUCAAAAAGAACCAAAUUACAUGCUUUUUCUACCACACAAGUUUUCUUCAGAAGAUGAUAUUCCAAAGGAAUCAUCUUUUGCUGCUGGAAAAAGAAUGCAUGAGUUGGUAAAGGUAUUUGUACUGUUACACCAAAUUCAAAUGUUCACUCUCGGUAGAGCUUUAUGUGAGCAACCUCCAAUUUACCCUCCUGGUGAUCUACCUGCUAAUUCUCGUGCCCUGACUUCUGGGCUAGUUGUAUCAAGCCCAAAGGCAGGCACUGAAGUCAGCCUUGUUAAUGCUGUUCCCUGUAGAAUUGCUUUCGAGAGGGGAAAAGAGCACAACUUUUGUUUUCUAGCAAUCUCUUCAGGAAUAUCUGGGUGGCUUGUUCUUGCAGAAGCAUUGCCACUGAAGAAGUCCUAUGGAGUCAUUCAGGUUGUUGGUUCUUUGGCUGGGUGCAAUCCCAGGAUUGAUGAUGAACAUGUAACAUGGUUACAUUUGCGGAUUCGCUCAUCCUCUAUACCCUUUCUAGAUCCAGUCAAAUUCAAUGACCAUGGGAAAAUGAAAACAAAAACUUUGGUAGAUGGAAGAUGGACAUUGGCGUUCAGAGAUGAGGGUUCUUGCAAGUCUGCUUUUUUAAUGGUUGUGGAAGAGAUCAAUUUUCUUAGUGGCGAGGUUCAUAGAAGACUAAAACCUUUGCUCAAUCUUGAAACUGCUAUAGAAUUAUCAAUCUCGUCUGUAUGUGUUCCAGAGGAUUCUUCUUCGCACAGAACAUCUCCCAAUUGAGUGUAAGUUCUUUAGCUUGGUUUAACGCUAUUAAGUUGUUUGCUCAUUGGGUGAGGAAAUGUUACGGCUAGCCAUCCUUUUGUAUAUGCCUCCAAAGUACAUACCAGAAUUUAGAUUAGUAAUUGAAUUAGUCUUUCUUUCUGUAUACCAGCCUUUCCUUGACCUGACUGACCUGUAAGUGUACCCAUUUGCUCGCAUUUUUCAGCAUCUCUAACCUAGGCCCUAUAUCAGUUUUUCCUAUUACGAGUAAGAUUUGCAAAAGACGUAAAUGAGAGAACCUCGAAGAGAAAGCUUUUUAGUUAUUUUUCUUAUUUGGAAUGAAGGUCUUUGUGUAGAUGCGUGUUAAACGCUAACUAUAUGAAGUAAUGAAAGCUUUUUCGUUUU